UUUGUGUAGUUGUAGCCGGCACUUAUUUCUCUAAUAGCUCAAUUUCCAAGAAUACAGCCACGGGGUACUGUAGCUCAACUGGCUAGAAUACAGCCACGAGGUACUGUAGCUCAACUGGCUAGAACACAGCCACGAGGUACUGUAGCUCAACUGGCUAGAACACAGCCACGAGGUACUGUAGCUCAACUGGCUAGAAUAUUGCCACGAGGUACUGUAGCUCAACUGGCUAGAAUAUUGCCGCGAGGUACUGUAGCUCAACUGGCUAGAAUAUUGCCACGAGGUACUGUAGCUCAACUGGCACCAAUAUUGCCACGAGGUACUGUAGCUCAACUGGCUACAAUAUUGCCACGAGGUACUGUAGCUCAACUGGCUGAAUAUUGCUACGAGGUACUGUAGCUCAACUGGCUACAAUAUUGCCACGAGGUACUGUAGCUCAACUGGCUACAAUAUUGCCACGAGGUACUGUAGCUCAACUGGCAACAAUAUUGCCGCAGGUACUGUAGCUCAACUGGCUACAACACAGCCACGAGGUACUGUAGCUCAACUGGCUACAAUAUUGCCACGAGGUACUGUAGCUCAACUGGCUACAAUAUUGCCACGAGGUGCUGUUGUUCAAAUGUUGACCACGAGGUAAAGCAGCUCAACUGGCU
rnacentral:lncRNA from 1 species